rnacentral:rRNA from 1 species
CCUACGGGUGGCAGCAGUGGGGAAUAUUGCACAAUGGGGGAAACCCUGAUGCAGCGACGCCGCGUGAGUGAAGAAGUAAUUCGUUACGUAAAGCUCUAUCAGCAGGGAAGAAAGAAAUGACGGUACCUGACUAAGAAGCCCCGGCUAACUACGUGCCAGCAGCCGCGGUAAUACGUAGGGGGCAAGCGUUAUCCGGAUUUACUGGGUGUAAAGGGAGCGUAGACGGCUGAGCAAGUCUGAAGUGAAAGGCGGGGGCCCAACCCCCGGACUGCUUUGGAAACUGUAUAGCUAGAGUGCAGGAGAGGUAAGUGGAAUUCCUAGUGUAGCGGUGAAAUGCGUAGAUAUUAGGAGGAACACCAGUGGCGAAGGCGGCUUACUGGACUGUAACUGGCGUUGAGGCUCGAAAGCGUGGGGAGCAAACAGGAUUAGAUACCCCAGUAGUC